AAAUGGUUACUAUUUUAUGUGUUAGACAAUUUUGGAGCAAUUAAACAAGAAUGGUCAAACAAGUUUUAUAUUUAUCAGGUACGUUCUUAAACUUACUCAAAGACUAAACAUGAUUUACUGAUGUAUCGCAUGAAGAAGAUUUUGCAAAAAAUGAGCCAGCUGCAGCUUAUCACAAAUGAUCUUGUAAUGUUUUUAUUAUUAUUAUUUUUGACAGAAACCAAGCACUUCAUUAAAACUACAAGACAGCAAGGCCGAAAGCCUAGAGAAAUAAAACCGUAAAGUACAAGGCCAACCGAGCCCAAUCCUAACCCCUCAUCGCUGCCUGGAGCAAGGAAAAAUGAAAGCUGAUCGGAAGUGUCUGUUGAAGCAAGGAUGAAGUACCCACGUCCAACAGGAACGCCGGCGAGUAGGAAAUAACACCGUCUUCAUAGCGGAGCUUGUCGGGGGCAUUGGCUGAGCUUUCAUCCUAAGCCUUCGAACGGGCGUCAGCAACCGGACAGUGAAAGUCUAGUGCAGCUUGAUCGUCGAUCGUUUCCAUGCACGAGCAAUCGAGGCUAAUUUGGAGAACGCAAGGGUAGUUAGCUGAGUUUUGCAGUAGUUUAAUUUCUUUCCAAGCCAUAAACAUUCAUUUUAC
rnacentral:lncRNA from 1 species